UACGGAGGGUGCAAGCGUUAUCCGGAUUUACUGGGUUUAAAGGGUGCGCAGGCGGAUAUGUAAGUCAGUGGUGAAAUCUCCGGGCUUAACCCGGAACUGCCGUUGAUACUAUAUAUUUUGAAUGCUGUGGAGGUAAGCAGAAUAUGUCAUGUAGCGGUGAAAUGCUUAGAGAUGACAUAGAAUACCUAUUGCGAAGGCAGCUUACUACGCAGAUAUUGACGCUCAUGCACGAAAGCGUGGGGAUCAAACAGG
rnacentral:rRNA from 1 species